rnacentral:rRNA from 1 species
UUUAUGGAGAGUUUGAUCCUGGCUCAGGAUGAACGCUGGCGGCGUGCCUAAUACAUGCAAGUCGAGCGAACAGACGAGGAGCUUGCUCCUCUGACGUUAGCGGCGGACGGGUGAGUAACACGUGGAUAACCUACCUAUAAGACUGGGAUAACUUCGGGAAACCGGAGCUAAUACCGGAUAAUAUAUUGAACCGCAUGGUUCAAUAGUGAAAGACGGUUUUGCUGUCACUUAUAGAUGGAUCCGCGCCGCAUUAGCUAGUUGGUAAGGUAACGGCUUACCAAGGCAACGAUGCGUAGCCGACCUGAGAGGGUGAUCGGCCACACUGGAACUGAGACACGGUCCAGACUCCUACGGGAGGCAGCAGUAGGGAAUCUUCCGCAAUGGGCGAAAGCCUGACGGAGCAACGCCGCGUGAGUGAUGAAGGUCUUCGGAUCGUAAAACUCUGUUAUUAGGGAAGAA